rnacentral:rRNA from 1 species
GGCUUAGAGUUUGAUCAUGGCUCAGGAUGAACGCUAGCUACAGGCUUAACACAUGCAAGUCGAGGGGCAUCAGGAAGAAAGCUUGCUUUCUUUGCUGGCGACCGGCGCACGGGUGAGUAACACGUAUCCAACCUGCCCUUUACUCGGGGAUAGCCUUUCGAAAGAAAGAUUAAUACCCGAUAGUAUAAUGAUUCCGCAUGGUUUCAUUAUUAAAGGAUUCCGGUAAAGGAUGGGGAUGCGUUCCAUUAGGUUGUUGGUGAGGUAACGGCCCACCAAGCCUUCGAUGGAUAGGGGUUCUGAGAGGAAGGUCCCCCACAUUGGAACUGAGACACGGUCCAAACUCCUACGGGAGGCAGCAGUGAGGAAUAUUGGUCAAUGGGCGUUAGCCUGAACCAGCCAAGUAGCGUGAAGGAUGAAGGCUCUAUGGGUCGUAAACUUCUUUUAUAUAAGAAUAAAGUGCAGUAUGUAUACUGUUUUGUAUGUAUUAUAUGAAUAAGGAUCGGCUAACUCCGUGCCAGCAGCCGCGGUAAUACGGAGGAUCCGAGCGUUAUCCGGAUUUAUUGGGUUUAAAGGGAGCGUAGGUGGACUGGUAAGUCAGUUGUGAAAGUUUGCGGCUCAACCGUAAAAUUGCAGUUGAUACUGUCAGUCUUGAGUACAGUAGAGGUGGGCGGAAUUCGUGGUGUAGCGGUGAAAUGCUUAGAUAUCACGAAGAACUCCGAUUGCGAAGGCAGCUCACUGGACUGCAACUGACACUGAUGCUCGAAAGUGUGGGUAUCAAACAGGAUUAGAUACCCUGGUAGUCCACACAGUAAACGAU